UACGUAGGGGGCUAGCGUUGUCCGGAAUCAUUGGGCGUAAAGAGCGUGUAGGCGGCCCGGUAAGUCCGUUGUGAAAUCGCCCGGCUCAACUGGGCGGGGUCAGCGGAUACGGUCGAGCUUGAGCAAGCUAGGGGGCAAUGGAAUUCCCGGUGUAGUGGUGGAAUGCGUAGAUAUCGGGAGGAACACCAGUGGCGAAGGCGGUUGCCUGGGGCUUUGCUGACGCUGAUGCGCGAAAGCGUGGGGAGCGAUCCGG
rnacentral:rRNA from 1 species